CCUGGGCGCGGAGGCACAUGCAUGUAGUCCCAGCUACUUGGGAGGCUGAGGUGGGAGAAUCACUUAAGCCCAGGAGUUCUGGGCUGUAGUGCACUAUGCCGAUUGGGUGUCCGCACUAAGUUCAGCAUCAAUAUGGUGACCUCCCGGAAGCAGGGGACCACCAGGUUGCCUAAGGAGGGGUGAACCGGCCCAGAUUGGAAAUGGAGCAGGUUAAAACUCCCAUGCUGAUCAGUAGUGGGAUUGCACCUGUGAAUAGCCACUGCACUCCAGCCUGGGCAACAGUGAGACCCCGUCUCU
rnacentral:SRP_RNA from 1 species